GUUGAACGCUGACAGAAUGCUUAACACAUCAGCAACUGUAUGGUGGCGGACGGGUGAGUAACGCGUAAAGAACUUACCUCACAGUUGGGGACAACAUCUGGAAACGAAUGCUAAAACCCAAUACUGUGAGAGAGCUUUGCGUCCCAUUAGCUAGUUGGAGAGGUAACGGCACACCAAUGCGAGGAUGGGUAGCCGGCCUGAGAGGGUGAUCGGCCACAAAGGGACAGAGACACGGGCAUUACGCCAACGGGAGGCAGGAGUGGGGAAUAUAGGACAAUGGACCGAAGUCUGAUCCAGCAAUUCGGUGUGCACGAUGAAGUUUUCGGAAGGUAAAGUGCUUUCAGUUUAGAAGCGGUACCAACAGAAUAAGUGACGGCUAAAUACGUGCCAGCAGCCGCGGUAAUAC
rnacentral:rRNA from 1 species